rnacentral:rRNA from 1 species
UACGUAGGGUGCGAGCGUUAAUCGGAAUUACUGGGCGUAAAGCGUGCGCAGGCGGUUUGUAAGCCAGAUGUGAAAUCCCCGGGCUUAACCUGGGAACUGCAUUGGUGACUGCAUUGCUGGAGUAUGGCAGAGGGGGGUGGAAUUCCACGUGUAGCAGUGAAAUGCGUAGAGAUGUGGAGGAACACCGAUGGCGAAGGCAGCCCCCUGGGCCAAUACUGACGCCUCAUGCAC